AUUGAACGCUGGCGGCAGGCCUAACACAUGCAAGUCGAGCGGAUGAAGGGAGCUUGCUCCUGGAUUCAGCGGCGGACGGGUGAGUAAUGCCUAGGAAUCUGCCUGGUAGUGGGGGAUAACGUCCGGAAACGGGCGCUAAUACCGCAUACGUCCUGAGGGAGAAAGUGGGGGAUCUUCGGACCUCACGCUAUCAGAUGAGCCUAGGUCGGAUUAGCUAGUUGGUGGGGUAAAGGCCUACCAAGGCGACGAUCCGUAACUGGUCUGAGAGGAUGAUCAGUCACACUGGAACUGAGACACGGUCCUGACUCCGACGGGAGGCAGAGGUGGGGAAUAUUGGACGAUGGGCGAAAGCCUGAUCCAGCCAUGCCGCGUGUGUGAAGAAGGUCUUCGGAUUGUAAAGCACUUUAAGUUGGGAGGAAGGGCAGUAAGUUAAUACCUUGCUGUUUUGACGUUACCAACAGAAUAAGCACCGGCUAACUUCGUG
rnacentral:rRNA from 1 species